rnacentral:rRNA from 1 species
AUUGAACGCUGGCGGCAGGCCUAACACAUGCAAGUCGAGCGGAUGAAGGGAGCUUGCUCCUGGAUUCAGCGGCGGACGGGUGAGUAAUGCCUAGGAAUCUGCCUGGUAGUGGGGGAUAACGUCCGGAAACGGGCGCUAAUACCGCAUACGUCCUGAGGGAGAAAGUGGGGGAUCUUCGGACCUCACGCUAUCAGAUGAGCCUAGGUCGGAUAGCUAGUUGGUGGGGUAAAGGCCUACCAAGGCGACGAUCCGUAACUGGUCUGAGAGGAUGAUCAGUCACACUGGAACUGAGACACGGUCCAGACUCCUACGGGAGGCAGCAGUGGGGAAUAUUGGACAAUGGGCGAAAGCCUGAUCCAGCCAUGCCGCGUGUGUGAAGAAGGUCUUCGGAUUGUAAAGCACUUUAAGUUGGGAGGAAGGGCAGUAAGUUAAUACCUUGCUGUUUUGACGUCACCAACAGGAUAAGCACCGGCUAACUUCGUG